rnacentral:rRNA from 1 species
GACGAACGCUGGCGGCGUGCCUAAUACAUGCAAGUAGAACGCACAGUUUAUACCGUAGCUUGCUCCACCAUAGACUGUGAGUUGCGAACGGGUGAGUAACGCGUAGGUAACCUGCCUGGUAGCGGGGGAUAACUAUUGGAAACGCUAGCUAAUACCGCAUAAUAUUGAUUAUUGCAUGAUAAUUGAUUGAAAGAUGCUAUUGCAUCACUACCAGAUGGACCUGCGUUGUAUUAGCUAGUAGGUGAGGUAACGGCUCACCUAGGCGAAGAUACAUAGCCGAACUGAGAGGGUGAUCGGCCACACUGAGACUGGGACACGGCCCAGACCCCUACGGGAGGCAGCAGUAGGGAAGCUUCGGAAAUGGACGAAAGUGUGAGCGAGAAACGCCGAGUUAGUGAAGAAGGUUUUCGGAUUGUAAAGCGCUGUUGUAAGAGAAGAACGGGUGUGAGAGUGGAAAGGUCACACUGUGACGGUAUCUUAUCAGAAAGGGACGGCUAACUACGUG